rnacentral:rRNA from 1 species
GAUGAACGCUGGCGGCGUGCCUAACACAUGCAAGUCGAACGGACCCUUCGGGGUUAGUGGCGGACGGGUGAGUAACACGUGGGAACGUGCCUUUAGGUUCGGAAUAGCUCCUGGAAACGGGUGGUAAUGCCGAAUGUGCCCUGCGGGGGAAAGAUUUAUCGCCUUUAGAGCGGCCCGCGUCUGAUUAGCUAGUUGGUGAGGUAAUGGCUCACCAAGGCGACGAUCAGUAGCUGGUCUGAGAGGAUGACCAGCCACAUUGGGACUGAGACACGGCCCAAACUCCUACGGGAGGCAGCAGUGGGGAAUCUUGCGCAAUGGGCGAAAGCCUGACGCAGCCAUGCCGCGUGGAUGAUGAAGGUCUUAGGAUUGUAAAAUCCUUUCACCGGUGAAGAUAAUGACUGUAGCCGGAGAAGAAGCCCCGGCUAACUUCGUGCCAGCCGCCGCCGUAACAC